UAGAGUUUCUAUGCAAAGUGUAGGU
rnacentral:piRNA from 1 species